rnacentral:lncRNA from 1 species
UUGACUCAAAAUAGAUAUUUUGAUGAAUGGGGAGAUUAAAAGUCGGUUGCAAAUCAGAUUUUUUUUAUAAUAGUUACUUUUUUAUUAUAACAAUUACGUGUUUUUUUUAUUAAUUUCACCUUUCAUAUCAUUUUAAAAAAAUCAAAUCAAUAUGAUUGUUUAGUUUUUUUUUUUUUUUUGCUAUUGGUCUUCCAAGGAAAAUAGAUAAACAUCAAAUGUCUUAGUCUUGCACUUGGAUUUUUAUUUUUUA